rnacentral:rRNA from 1 species
CCUACGGGAGGCAGCAGUGGGGAAUUUUGGACAAUGGGCGCAAGCCUGAUCCAGCCAUGCCGCGUGCGGGAAGAAGGCCUUCGGGUUGUAAACCGCUUUUGUCAGGGAAGAAAUCCUUUGGGCUAAUACCUCGGAGGGAUGACGGUACCUGAAGAAUAAGCACCGGCUAACUACGUGCCAGCAGCCGCGGUAAUACGUAGGGUGCGAGCGUUAAUCGGAAUUACUGGGCGUAAAGCGUGCGCAGGCGGUUAUGCAAGACAGAUGUGAAAUCCCCGGGCUUAACCUGGGAACUGCAUUUGUGACUGCAUAGCUCGAGUACGGCAGAGGGGGAUGGAAUUCCGCGUGUAGCAGUGAAAUGCGUAGAUAUGCGGAGGAACACCGAUGGCGAAGGCAAUCCCCUGGGCCUGUACUGACGCUCAUGCGCGAAAGCGUGGGGAGCAAACAGGAUUAGAUACCCUGGUAGUCCACGCCCUAAACGAUGUCAACUGGUUGUUGGACGGCUUGCUGUUCAGUAACGAGCUAACGNGUGAGUUGACCGCGUGGGUAAGGUACGGCGCGAGUAGUUAACGUUACGAAGAGAGUUGCGGCGNGAGAGNGCGACGGACGACGACGAGGAGGAGG